AAUAUUGGACAAUGGGCGAAAGCCUGAUCCAGCCAUGCCGCGUGUGUGAAGAAGGUCUUCGGAUUGUAAAGCACUUUAAGUUGGGAGGAAGGGUUGUAGAUUAAUACUCUGCAAUUUUGACGUUACCGACAGAAUAAAGCACCGGCUAACUCUGUGCCAGCAGCCGCGGUAAUACAGAGGGUGCAAGCGUUAAUCGGAAUUACUGGGCGUAAAGCGCGCGUAGGUGGUUCGUUAAGUUGGAUGUGAAAUACCCCGGGCUCAACCUGGGAACUGCAUUCAAAACUGUCGAGCUAGAGUAUGGUAGAGGGUGGUGGAAUUUCCUGUGUAGCGGUGAAAUGCGUAGAUAUAGGAAGGAACACCAGUGGCGAAGGCGACCACCUGGACAAAGACUGACGCUCAGAUGCGAAAGCGUGGGGAGCAAACAGGAUUAGAUACCCUGGUAG
rnacentral:rRNA from 1 species